rnacentral:tRNA from 1 species
AUUACUUUGGCAGAAUAGUGUUUUAAAUUUAGAAUUUAAUUAUGUAUAAUAAUAAGUUAUACAAGUAAUA